AGAGUUUGAUUCUGGCUCGGGACGAACGCUGGCGGCGUGCCUAAUACAUGCAAGUCGAGCGAGCUUGCCUAGAUGAAUUUGGUGCUUGCACCAAAUGAAACUAGAUACAAGCGAGCGGCGGACGGGUGAGUAACACGUGGGUAACCUGCCCAAGAGACUGGGAUAACACCUGGAAACAGAUGCUAAUACCGGAUAACAACACUAGACGCAUGUCUAGAGUUUAAAAGAUGGUUCUGCUAUCACUCUUGGAUGGACCUGCGGUGCAUUAGCUAGUUGGUAAGGUAACGGCUUACCAAGGCAAUGAUGCAUAGCCGAGUUGAGAGACUGAUCGGCCACAUUGGGACUGAGACACGGCCCAAACUCCUACGGGAGGCAGCAGUAGGGAAUCUUCCACAAUGGACGCAAGUCUGAUGGAGCAACGCCGCGUGAGUGAAGAAGGGUUUCGGCUCGUAAAGCUCUGUUGGUAGUGAAGAAAGAUAGAGGUAGUAACUGGCCUUUAUUUGACGGUAAUUACUUAGAAAGUCACGGCUAACUACGUGCCAGCAGCCGCGGUAAUACGUAGGUGGCAAGCGUUGUCCGGAUUCAUUGGGCGUAAAGCGAGUGCAGGCGGUUCAAUAAGUCUGAUGUGAAAGCCUUCGGCUCAACCGGAGAAUUGCAUCAGAAACUGUUGAACUUGAGUGCAGAAGAGGAGAGUGGAACUCCAUGUGUAGCGGUG
rnacentral:rRNA from 1 species